GCGGUUGUGGCGGAACGGCAGACGCACCAUCUUGAGGGGGUGGCGGGGAGACCCGUGUGAGUUCAAGUCUCACCAACCGCACCA
rnacentral:tRNA from 1 species